rnacentral:lncRNA from 1 species
GCCCCCUUGCAUGCCGCUCCUAGCCCCUAGCCCUCGUACGUGCGACCGCUUCGAUCUCUCGCCCCCGCGCGCAGCUGGGUUCUGCCUUCGGGUCUGGGUCGUCUCGACUCGUUUCCUCGGAGAUUCUCAGGGAAUCGCCAAAUGCUACAAGAAAAGGGAUCGAUCCGACACGUACGGAUGUAUGCGUUUUGUUUUUGAUAUCUGGUGUGGUAUAUUAGUUCGGCAGCUGCUUUUUAGAUGUUGGCAACUAUUAAUUCCAAAGGAAAUUAAUCCAUACGCACGCAUCAGUCUGGAUCUAUGAUCAAUGUAGAAAGCCUCGUGCAAACUACCGUAGGCAGUUUGUCAUAGUUACGCAGUGGUCCAAGAAUGAUUUUUUUUCUUUUUCCGGGUAGACUUCCUUUGACGUACGUACAUAACGUAACGUACCACCAUGGCCGGUCAGGCGAGAGAAACAUGCAUGC